AAAAUGCGAUACUUGGUGUGAAUUGCAGAAUCCCGUGAACCAUCGAGUUUUUGAACGCAAGUUGCGCCCGAAGCCAUCCGGCUGAGGGCACGCCUGCCUGGGCGUCACGCAUCGCGUCGCUCCCCACCAUACCUCCCCAACGGGUUGGCAUGGUGUUGGGGGCGGAUAAUGGCCUCCCGUGCUUGUGUUUCGGUUGGCCUAAAUAAGAGUUCCCUUCGGCGGACACACGACUAGUGGUGGUUGAAUAGACCCUCGUCUUUUGUUGCGUGUCGUGAGCUGUAAGGGUAGCCCGCAUCAAAGACCCCAUUGUAUCGUCUUCGGAUGAUGCUUCGACCGCGACCCCAGGUCAGGCGGGACUACCCGCUGAGUUUAAGC
rnacentral:misc_RNA from 1 species